rnacentral:rRNA from 1 species
CAAUAGCGUAUAUUUAAGUUGUUGCAGUUAAAAAGCUCGUAGUUGGAUUUCGGGUGGGACGCAGCGGUCUCGCAUUGCGUUUGUACUGCUGCAGCCCUCCUUCUUGCCGGGGGCGGCCUCUCGGACUUCACUGUCUGGGGGUCAGAAUCGGCGAUGUUACUUUGAGUAAAUUAGAGUGUUCAAAGCAAGCUUACGCUCUGAAUAUAAUAGCAUGGGAUAACACGACAGGACUCUGGCCUAUCGUGUUGGUCUAUAGGACCAGAGUAAUGAUUAAGAGGGACAGUCGGGGGCAUUCGUAUUCCGUUGUCAGAGUUGAAAUUCUUGGAUUUACGGAAGACGAACAUCUGCGAAAGCAUUUGCCAAGGAUGUUUUCAUUGA